rnacentral:rRNA from 1 species
CAGCCGCCACGGGAAUACGUAGGGUGCGAGCGUUGUCCGGAAUUAUUGGGCGUAAAGAGCUUGUAGGCGGUCUGUCGCGUCUGCUGUGAAAACCCGAGGCUCAACCUCGGGCCUGCAGUGGGUACGGGCAGACUAGAGUGCGGUAGGGGAGAACGGAACUCCUGGUGUAGCGGUGGAAUGCGCAGAUAUCAGGAAGAACACCGAUGGCGAAGGCAGUUCUCUGGGCCGUAACUGACGCUGAGAAGCGAAAGCGUGGGGAGCGAACAGGAUUAGAUACCCGAGUAGUCCCUGUCUCUUAUAA